CAGCAUCGAAAAUGGACGGACUUUCCCGAUGGAUCGUUUCGUAUAAUUUUGGUGCAAAAUAGUAGAGAGACGCAGUGUUACUCUUCCUUACGUUACCUGUAUCUGGAGAGUGUCAAGCGUUUCCCACAUUU
rnacentral:snoRNA from 15 species